GAUGAACGCUGGCGGCGUGCUUAACACAUGCAAGUCGAACGGGGAUAAGGGAAGCUUGCUUUCCUUAUCUUAGUGGCGGACGGGUGAGUAACGCGUGGAUAACCUGGCCCAUACAGGGGGAUAGCAGCUGGAAACGGCUGGUAAUACCGCAUAAGCGCACGGUACGGCAUCGUACAGUGUGAAAAACUCCGGUGGUAUGGGAUGGGUCCGCGUCUGAUUAGGCAGUUGGCGGGGUAAAGGCCCACCAAACCGACGAUCAGUAGCCGGCCUGAGAGGGUGGGCGGCCACAUUGGGACUGAGACACGGCCCAA
rnacentral:rRNA from 1 species